GGCCUCUGUCCUCAUUCUUAGUACAGCUCAGGUGGCUUGUUUUGUUUUGUUUUUCUCCUCCUGUUCUCACACACAUAUACACAUAUGCACUGGUCUUCUUCCCCAGGCCUCCAUUCCUGCGUCCAAGCCACCCCAUUCUCCCAGAACAUUCCCUGUGCUCUGGCCAACCUCUCAGUAUCUAUUCUUGCUUUGCCUCAUAGCUCAGUGCUACUUCUUCCAGAAAGCUUUCCUGGGAAAUUCUCUUCUUUCUUUUUGUUUUUCCUUAGCUCUCUCUCACCACUUAUGUAACAAUGCCCAGCUCCCAGGAAGAGGAGCAGAAGAGGAGCUGAGAAUGAGAAAACAGCUCCCAGCAGCCAGGAACUUGCCUGGCACUCUCAGCGAUGCUUGGGUUUUCCAUAAGCAUUUCACAGAAUACCAACAUCAGGCAAGGCCACGCUGUGACUGACCUCAAGAGAUCAAGACAGAAACAAGAUCUCUCAGUAAUCAUCUCUGAACAAAGACAGAAACAAGAACACUGUCAAAACCACAAGAAUAACGAAGCAUCUGUGCAUCCAAGCUAACAUGAGCCAGUGCUGCUUCUUUUCCAAGCAUUUAGCCUUGCUUUAUUCCUCCCACCUUGUAUAGGACAGAAGAUUUAUUGAUACUCUACUUUUUUUUUGAGAUGGAAUCUCCCUCUGUUGCUCAGGCUGAAGUGCAGUGGCACGAUCUCGGCUUACUGCAGCCUCUGCCUCCUGGAUACUCCUCUUUCUGAGCAGCAUCCAAUCCCAAGCAAAGCCUCACUUCCUUCACCUCUUCCCCAAAUCACCAAAUAUAUCUGCUGGUGGUCUUUUGACUGGAGGACACUGAUGAUCAAGAACAACAUACAGACAAGCUGCUACACCUCCCCACCCUGAAUCGUCUGUUCCAGUGGAUUGGAUUGAUUCUUCAGUCCUUGGGUGUGCUUACAAGUUUGCUACAUCCAUAGUCUUCCCUUACCAAUCUUUUUUCUUCUUAAUUUAUUUUCUUAAUUUUUUUUUUGUUUUAUGUUUUCUUCUUCUUAAUUUCUUUUUCUUUUCUUUUCUUUCUGGAGUCUUGCUCUGUAGCCCAGGCUGGAGUGCAGUGGCGCAGUCUUGGCUUACUGCAACCUCUGCUUCUUGGGUCCCAGUUCAAGCAGUUCUCCUACCUCAGCCUCCCAAGUAGCUGGGAUUACAGGCAUGAGCCACCAUGCCCAGCUAGUUUUUGUACUUUUUAGUAGAGACAGGGUUUCACAGUUUUGGCCAGUCUGGUCUUGAACUCCUGACCUCGUUAUUUACCCAUCUCGGCCUUCCAAAGUGCUGGGAUUACUGGUGUGAGCCACCUCACCCGGCCCUUCUUUUCUUUUUUUUUUUUUGAGAUGGCGUUUCGCUUUUGUUGCCCAGGCUGGAGUGCAGCGCAGUGAUCUCGGCUCAUCGUAACCUCCGCCUCCCAGGUUCAAGCGAUUCUCCUGCCUCAGCCUCCUGAGUAGCUGGGAUUACAGGAAUGUGCCACCAUGCCCAGCUAAUUUUGUAUUUUUGUAGAUAUGGAGUUUCACCAUGUUGCCCAAGCUGAUCUUGAACUCCUGAGUUUGAGUGAUCUGCCCACCUCAGCCUCCCAAAGUGUUGGAUUACAGGCAUGAACCACUGCAGCUAGCCUGAAUUCAUCAGUUUGAACUAUACAGUUCGAUGAUUUUUCAGUUAUUCCCCAUUUCCUCAUCAACCCUACACACCUAGGCAACUAUUAAUCUAGUUUCUGUCUUUUUGGAUUUGCCUAUUCUGGACAUUUUCUAUAAAGGGACAUAGGCUCUAUGGUCUUUCGUGGUUGGCUUCUUUCACCUUGGCAUAAUGUUUUCAACUAUAACCUUGUUUUAAAUUUUUCUGGUCUUGAUAGGGAAAAGCCACCUUUGUUUUUGUUUGAGACAGCGUCUCCCUCUGUUGCCCAGGCUGCAGUGCAGUGGCGCGAUCUCGGCUCACUGCAACCUCUGCCUUCCGAGGUUCAAACUAUUCUCCUGCCUCACCUUCCAGAGUAGCUGGGAUUACAGGCACCCGCCACCAACCUGGCUAAUUUUUUUUUAGUAGAGAUGGUGUUUCACCAUGUUUGCCAGGCUGGUCUCGAACUCCUGACCUCAAGUGAUCCACUCACGUCAGCCUCCCAAAGUGCAGGGAUUGCAGGUGUGAGCCACUGUGCCUGGUCAGGAAGAGCCAUCUUAACAUAUUAAUCUGGCUACAGACUUCUAUUUGAUUUUUAAAUUUUUCUUGUAGAGAUGGGGACCUCACUCUUGCCCAGGCUGGUCUUAAACUCCUGGGUUUAAGUGAUCCUCUCACCUCAGCCUUCCCAAAUCCUGGGAUUAUAUGCGUGAGCCACCAUACCCAGUCUUGGCUAUGGAGUUUUUUUUUGUUUGUUUGUUUUUGAGACAGAGUUUCGCUCUUGUUACCCAGGUUGGAGUGCAAUGGCGCGAUCUUGGCUCACUGCAACCUCCGCCUCCUGGGUUCAGGCAAUUCUCCUGCCUCAGCCUCCUGAGUAGCUGGGAUUACAGGCACAUGCCACCAUGCCCAGCUAAUUUUUUGUAUUUUUAGUAGAGACGGUGUUUCACCAUGUUGACCAGGAUGAUCUCGAUCUCUUGACCUUGUGAUCCACCCGCCUCGGCCUCC